rnacentral:rRNA from 1 species
UGGGGAAUAUUGCGCAAUGGGCGGAAGCCUGACGCAGCAACGCCGCGUGCGGGAUGACGGCCUUCGGGUUGUAAACCGCUUUCAGCAGGGACGAAGCUUUUGUGACGGUACCUGCAGAAGAAGCACCGGCCAACUAC